GCUUCAUUUGUGAACAGAACAAGCACAGACCAGGCUGAGGAGUGCCUGAGAGCCACUACUGCACAGAAGCACAACUGGACCCUGACAACAGCAUCACUGCCCAAGGAGCACUCAUUUCAAACAUCACUGAGUUUACAAAACUUGGGGGAAACUUACCUGACUUUGACUCUUCCUGCUGUGCCAAAGAUGACCAGGAGUUCAGUGGUGCAGUCAGCUGGAGAAAGAUGGUGAUGGAAACAAUUCUUUCAAGUCAGCAUUGAGCUCCAUAGCAAAACCAAGUUCAACAGCACUCAAGUUCAAC
ensembl:lncRNA